rnacentral:lncRNA from 1 species
AAAGCUCACUCUGAGUACCUCCAGAACUAGCUUUCUCCCUGAAUUUCCUGACUUUGGACCCUGACAAACUAAAGGAAGUUUUUGUCUCAUGAAGUCCUUGUGAGGUUGACAAUCCCUGGUCAACCAGAGAACCAACAGGUGAGAUGACAAUGAAAAUAAGGCCCAGUGUACAGCAAAAGGGAUGUGGCAAGACCGAAGUGACUGUGACUCAGAUGCUAUCAAAGACCAGAUGAAGCCUACCUGGGAAUCCUCCUCUUAAACAGCAGGAGCCCAGACCCUGAGCAGGGAGAGAGUCAGGCCCCAGAUGGAGAAGCUGAUCAACUUCAUAGCAUCACCAUGGAGCCAGAUGUAGAAAUUCUCUAGGGGGUUGCCGAACAACCCUGUCAUCCCUACCUGACCUCAGCUGCUGGGGUCCCUGUGAACACAGUCUGCAAGCUCAUCAUUCCUGUGGGGAGGCGUUGUUUUGCAGUCCGAGCCACCUGGAGAAGAAAAGUGUAAGGUGGGAGUAUGGAGAAAGCUGGCUCACAGACACAGGAGAGCUGCUGAGGCAGACAGAUCAGUUCCAGUGUUCACACAGUGGCAAACUACGGCGACUGCGGC